rnacentral:rRNA from 1 species
UACGGAGGGUGCGAGCGUUGUCCGGAAUCACUGGGCGUAAAGGGCGCGUAGGUGGCUCGUGAAGCGUGCGGUGAAAGUCCGAGGCUCAACCUCGGAUCGGCCGUGCGGACUCGCGGGCUCGAGCGUUGUAGAGGGGGGUAGAAUUCCACGUGUAGCAGUGAAAUGCGUAGAGAUGUGGAGGAAUACCGAUGGCGAAGGCAGCCCCCUGGGCUAACACUGACGCUCAUGCACGAAAGCGUGGGGAGCAAACAGG